AGAAAGAAAGAGAGAGAGAGACCUGGCUGUCCUGAGAUCACCGCGCCGCGAGGAAGCCCGGGCCAGCCAUGUGGACAGGCUACACGAUAGAGAAGCCCCUAAAAGCCUCUCCACGCUCCAGCCCCCAGGCCCACGCACCAGACACGUGAACGAAGAAGCCUUCGGCCGACAGCGGUGGUACCCUCCGCCCCCCGACUGCGGGAAGCAGCCAUCUCUACUGCAGCUGACUUUCGGGACCGUCAGAUUUCACAAUAAGCCGCUGUAAGUCACGGAGCGUGGGGCCGGCUGGUUUUGCAGCCGACAGGUGCCCGGGACAAUGAACGAGGCUGGGUGUGUCCCGCGACCCGGGGAGCGGCGACCGGGAGCUUCCCCGGUUCAAAGCUCCAUCGGCUGUCCCUCUACUACGGUUCCAAGACCGGGAGAGGUAAGAGUUGCCUCGCGCUACGGGCUCACCACCCGGCCCCCCUCCCCCCACCGCCGCCUACAACCACCACCGGCCUCUCCCGAGAAACCCAUGAAGUUUUGACUUCCCCAUUUUGUAGAUGAAGAAAGGAAGGCCGAAGCCACACAGCCAGUGAUGUGGGGGACACAGGCAGAAGGCAACAGCAGAUAGAACUAAAUUUCCUUACAACCUGCAGCCCAUUGACACAUAUUUGAGGCUCCCUACUGUCUUACUGCUAAAGCUUCGCUAGAGGGAAAACCACCCGGGUUUGACAAUAGCUAGGCCUCCGGGAUCCUGUGCACAUGAAAAUCUCUCUGGAAACUUCCCCUGAAAGUUUCCCCCAACUCCAUGGUAUAUAACCAGUCUCUCCUCAGGGUCCCGGGGCGGCUCUUCCUGCCCACGGGUCCGGUCCCCGUGCUUCGAUAAAAAUCACCUUCUUGCACCAAAGACGUCUCCAAGAAUUCUUUCUUGGCCGUCGGCUCCGGACCCCGCAAACCCCACUAUCACCCCCAAAACCUCAUCAGGCCAGUAAGGGGGCCUGACUCCCCAAAAUCUACGCUCCAAACCACUGUGAGCCAUUGCCUGCCCAAAUCCUGGAAGGCAAGGGAGUGUGGAUAGAAUACCUUCACCCUUAAUAAGGUAUGAAACUGCUCUGGGCCCAGCCGGUCCCUCAGCAUCUGCGGGCCGUGCAGCAAAGGCCUAACUCAGCGGGCUUGUACGUGCCAAAGAAAAGACUGGCCCUCGAGCAGCUUUUGAGAGGUUAUCUCUCAGCCCUUGGAAUAUCCUAAUAAAAGUUGUCUUUCCCUAGCAGGGACUCUGGGCCACAGCAGGUACGACCCAGUGGGAUCUGUGGGGGAGCCUGGGAGCACGCUGUAUCAUUUGACGACUGCAGGGGCUGGAGACGGGGUCACUAAGCGGCAAGACGAUGGGGUCUCUGACUCCCAGAAAGGCAGCGUGGAGCCUUCCUCGAAGAACUGAGAUGUGUGCAAAAGCCGGGGACCCCAGACAAUGAGCAUCUGUGAUUUUGAUUAUCAAACUGGGGAUCAGCAUGGGGUGGCCCGCUCUCUCUCUCCCAAAUUAAACACACACAGACUAAGAGUACUAA